rnacentral:rRNA from 1 species
GUGAGGGCCCUCUGGGUCCAACCUCCCACCCGUGUUUAUUUUACCUUGUUGCUUCGGCGGGCCCGCCUUAACUGGCCGCCGGGGGGCUUACGCCCCCGGGCCCGCGCCCGCCGAAGACACCCUCGAACUCUGUCUGAAGAUUGUAGUCUGAGUGAAAAUAUAAAUUAUUUAAAACUUUCAACAACGGAUCUCUUGGUUCCGGCAUCGAUGAAGAACGCAGCGAAAUGCGAUACGUAAUGUGAAUUGCAAAUUCAGUGAAUCAUCGAGUCUUUGAACGCACAUUGCGCCCCCUGGUAUUCCGGGGGGCAUGCCUGUCCGAGCGUCAUUUCUGCCCUCAAGCACGGCUUGUGUGUUGGGCCCCGUCCUCCGAUCCCGGGGGACGGGCCCGAAAGGCAGCGGCGGCACCGCGUCCGGUCCUCGAGCGUAUGGGGCUUUGUCACCCGCUCUGUAGGCCCGGCCGGCGCUUGCCGAUCAACCCAAAUUUUUAUCCAGGUUGACCUCGGAUCAGGUAGGGAUACCCGCUGAACUUAAGCAUAUC